UACGUAGAAGACUAGUGUUAUUCAUCUUUAUUAGGUUUAAAGGGUACUUAGACGGUACUACUAGCCCAAAUUAGGGUACGGUAUUACUAGAGUUUUAUAUGAGAAGGGGAGUAUUCACGGAGUAGAGAUGAAAUUUUUUGAUACCAUGACGACUGACAAUGGCGAAAGCAACCUUCUGUUUAUUAACUGACGUUGAUGGAAC
rnacentral:rRNA from 1 species